ensembl:lncRNA
AUGGUUGUUUUAAUCCAAAGUUUAAGAAAGAUGGGGACCGGGAGGGAGACUAUACAAAGAAGACAGGAAGUCAGACUGUUAAGGAUCUGGUGUUGUCACUGUUGUGGCUCAGGUCACUGGUGUGGCACGGGUUCGACCCCUGGCCAGGGAAGCUUCACAUGCUGCAGGCGCGGCCACAAGGAAAAAAGGAAGAGAAAGGAGGACGUCAGAACCUCUACUGGACUGUACAGGCAAGGAGACUGGCCUGCCUCGGAGGGUCCGUCCCUGGACUGUCUGGACACAGGCCCGCGUUUGCGAGAUGAAGCCCUCGUGGUUCCCAGACCCGAGUCCACACCCCGCUCUUCCUGUAACCCGUCCAUUAAAUGGAGUUCCGGCCCUUGGACUGUGGUCCCAAGCUUUUCGCCAUUUUUCCACUGGGGGCACCUCUGUCCAGUGCAGUCCUUACACUGGCUCAACAGCAGUUGCUCGACGUAUAAAUGGGCGUUAGGCCAGCGGUUUUUUGUUGGCAUGUCUGUAUGCAUGUCCCUCUGUAUGUAUAUGCGUAUGCAUUUUGGCCCCUCCGUCAGCGUGCAGAAGUUCCCCAGGCCAGAGAUGGAACCUGUGCCACAGUAGUGACGAUGCCAAAUCCUCAACCCACUAAGCCACCAGGAAACUCCCAGGCCAAAGCUUCAAAAGGAUGGGGUGCAGGGGUCAUGUGGGAGCACAUUCCAGAAAAGCCAUAUCGACACGUCAGGCUCGUCCUACAUCCUCGGACUGCAGGAGACUUGGGUCUGCGCAUGUCCUUUCAAGUCUUGGAGGGGCCUCUGCUGCAGCCUUUCCCAGACCUGCUUGACCCUGACCCCUUUGAUUUCAUGUGGAAUCUCACGGGUCUUGCAUUCCUUGCUGGAUUGGGGGAGAUCUGCUUUCAAGGCCCCUGCAAGUUAGAUAAUCCACACACACAAAAAGGCAAAGGCAAAUCCAUCAUGCCUCUGGAGGUAUCCCGUUCCAAAAUAUUAUUAACCAAGUGUUUUAAUUGCUUGUCUUGGUGCCAUGUCUUUGACACCUAGACUCACCUCCUAUUGGGGGAACUUCCCUGUUCCCGGCAGCCAGGAUUCAGGGGUCAAGGGGGAGUGGACAGGGCAGAGCAGUGACCCAUCCAAAGACAUUCAAGUUUAGGGAGUUCCUGUUGUGGCUCAGCGGUAAUGAACCUGACUAGUAUCCAUGAGGAUGCAGGUUCGAUCCCUGGCCUCUUUCAGUGGGUUAAGACUCUGGUGUUGCUUUGAGCUUCGGUGUGGGUCACAGACCCGGCUGGGAUCUGGUGUGACUGCUGCGGCUGUGGCUGUGGGGUAGGUUGGCAGCUGCAGCUCUGAUUUGACCCCGAACCUGGGAACUUCCACAUGCAAAGGGUGCGACCCUAAAAGAAAAAAAAAAAAAAAGACAUUCUUUCAGGUUCAGCCCCUCAGGAGGGAAAGAACACGGAGGGCUUUGAGACCUUCUGAUGUGAGGAAGCACAGGAAGGAUUCCAGAGGCUUCUCUCCCCACCACCGCCUUCUCCACUCAUCCUUUUAUACUGCGUUUAUUUCCUCCAUCGAGUUGAGUGAGAAUGAAACCGUUUACCCCCUGCUUGCCUCAAAGGAAUGUAGAAAAGAGUUUUUGGAAGGAAAAAAAAAAGAAGUUCGGUUCAGCCCACUGAGCCCAUCCCCCCCGAGCCCAUCCCCCCAGCCGAGCUGGUCACCAGAAAACAAAAGCAAGGGCUGCUCUUCGCUGCCACCGCGCUGGGGAUUCACAAAUGAUUCAACGGUGGCAGCAGCAGCAGCGGCAGCCUGGGCUUUGGAAACUUAAAGCCAAAAAGGGCAAACACAGGAGAGACAAGACAGAGGUGGGUGGAACUUUGAGCCCGGCUUAUCUCCAGAGCACACUCAUUGUCUGAGGGGCGAGCCUCCCCCUUUUGAACAAAGGACAGUCCAUGGUUAAUCAUCUUGUGAAAUGGGAAAACCCACGUGCUAAGCAGAAAGACGGUUUUAAUGGGCCAAAAAAUAACUUGCAGAGACACUGCAGGCCAAAAAAAAAAAAAAAAAAAAAAAAAAAGAGUAAUGCUCCUUUAACCAAUGUAAAGAAGAAGAAAAAAAGCGAAACCUCAUUUUCAGCUCUCAAUAGAGGAUUACCAGGCACGGAGCAGAGAGGCUUCCGGAGGCUGGCAUUCCACAGCAGCUCAUCAGGUUCGUCAAAGGAAGCAUUUCAGCCCUUCUGAACUCACAGCCUCUGGUCCACACAGCGGGAAGAACACACACACACACACACACACACACACCGAUUGCUCUAGACUGUAUUUGCAAAGAGAUGCAUUAAAAAGGGAAUUUGAGGUUAACAGAUGCAAACUAUUGCCUUUGGAAUGGAUAAGCAAUGAGAUCCUGCUGUAUAGCACUGGGAACUAUAUCUAGUCACUUAGGAUGGAGCAGGAUAAUGUGAGAAAAAAGCAUGUAUACAGUAUGCGUGACUGGGUCACCAUGCUGUAUAGUAGAAAAUUGACAGUGUUGGGGACACGGCUCGGAUCGUCAGUGUCGGAAAGCGAGACCCGUGAACACGGCAGAUCCCGCCCAGCUCUGCCUCUGCAGAAGGGCGCGGGUGCUCACCCAGCGCGCGGAAGCCGAGACCCUCCCUGUUUAUCCCUAACGCGGGGGUGCACCUGUGCCCUCCCCGGGGGUCAGGGCAGGGCGCACAUUCUUCUCGGGGGGCUCAUUGAAACAGCUUGUUCCUGGGAGAAGAGGGAAAGAGGAGGGGGUGGCAGGAGGGCGUUUCAGCCGAAGCCUGAGCGAAAUGAGUCACCAAGAUUUCCUUCGAUAGACGAGACAUUAGGAUACUUUCCACAACAAAACACUGUAAACCAGGUAUAAUGGAAAAAGUAAAACUCAUUAUCUAAGAAAGAAAAACGGCUAAGCAGGAUUAGGCCUGGUUGGUACUUGAAUGGAAGGAAGGGCCAGGGUCGUGGCAGGGGCUGACUUAGAGCCUUCCUUGAGUUUGCUGGGCGGAAACUCACCUUGUGCCCACACCGUUCAUUUCCUUGCAGUCACAGGACAUUUCUGAGAGAGGGUGGAUGGCGGGGGACCGUUAGCCGUUUUCCCGAAGGAGCAGUCCUACCCCUCUUCCCUGUAUGGUUUUCUGUUACCCUUGCAGCUCAGUAGGUGGAAAAAUUAAACAUUCAAGCUACCGCUGAAAUUUCUGCUGCAAAAGAGUUUUCAACCCCUGAGUGGUCGAAGGAAGGAGAAAAGGGCUCCCCUACCCAGUAAUUCCCGCCACGAAAAAGCUUACCGUUCCUUAUUUCAGACUGGAAGUUUCCUCAGGCUCGCCACGGGGGAGGAUGCAGCUGCCUUCCACGUGGCCGUUCCUGCUGCUGGAAAUUAAGAUAACUCUGGCUUGGGUCAUCAGCGUCGGAAAGUGAGACACGUGGACAAGGAGAAAUCUCGGCAAGGCUCUUUCCUUCUGCAGAAGGGCGCGGGUGCUCCAAAAGGCACGCGUGCUGAACAAAGGACCCUCCCCCAUUGAUCCCUAGCGCAGGUGAUGGGCCUGUCCCCUUCCCAUGGGUCAGGGCAGGGCGCACAUUCUUGCCGGUUGGCUAACUGAAAUAAAUUGUUGCUGGGAAAAGGGGUAAAGAGGAGG